rnacentral:rRNA from 3 species
GACCAUAGAGCGUUGGAACCACCUGAUCCCAUCCCGAACUCAGUAGUGAAACGACGCAUCGCCGAUGGUAGUGUGGAGUUUCUCCAUGUGAGAGUAGGUCAUCGUCAAGC